UGCUGGAAGGAAUGAGCCAUGGAGGGAAGCCACUUUGGGUGCACAGCUUCAUUGGGUGAAUCAGGCUUAGGGGAGAGAAUCAAGCCUGAGCAUCUCCUGCUAUCCAGUGGAGCAUAUGGCAGGCGUGGCUGCAGCUGGGAUCACGGAGGAGAAAAGUGUCUUGUCUCCCAGCCUAGUACCAGUCUUUUCAGAGCCUGCUUAGCUUGGGAAACCUGAGCUCACCGCCCAAGGUGUCAGGUGAACAUGAUAUUAGCCAUGCACAGCCACUAAACCUGCUCUCCGUGCUCGAGUUUGUGGUGGUGAAUCUAGGGUCACCCUUGCUGGGUCUGUGCCACUGCCCUGUUUCUGGGGAAGGCCUGUGCAUAGAGUUAACCCUUCACUUGCUGAAGGCGGAUAAUAAAACACCCACCGCAAAGCUCUGUGCUGCUGCAUGACAGGUAGGAGUUGUUAUGGCCCCGGCUCUUUAACGCCCACUGGAGGGAGCAGCUGAUGCUUUUAGUUCUGGAGGUCCCUGGCUCAAUCCUGGUGUCAGUCAAGAGGGCAACUGUCACACCUGGCUGUAACAGUGAUCCCGACGUUAGCCCUAAAGUCCUAGGUUCAAAAUGCCCUUUGUUGAAGAGAGGCUGGAAAGCUUGUGGUUAAAGCACUGCGCUAGGAUCCGGUGUCACGGGUUCAGUUCCUGGAUCUGCCACAGACUUUCCACGUGACCUUAAAGUGAUCACUUAGGGCUCGCUCCUGUGCCCUUAGAAGUCCACGUCCCAGUGAUUUGACUACCUGAUGGGGCAAGGAUUGCCUCAUACUCUGUACGUGUGCAGCACCCAGGAUUGUGACUGAGGCCGCUAAGCGCCACCCUAAUGCGGACAAUAAAGAGAACCUUGGCUGAUCCACUCCAGAGGUGGCUGCAUUUCAGUGGCACUGCGAUAUGUUCUCUGUUACCUGGUAAGCUCUUUAGCAUCCGCUGGGAGGAAAGUGUGUCAUACGAAUGCAAAAUAUUAUUAAUUAUUAUGAUUAUUACUCACGUGAGAGAGAGCCUGUGCUAAAAGACUCUUGGGCUUCGGUAGCUUGCUAAAAUGAGAGUCGUUUAGAGCAACACCUCUUUGGUUAAAAACACAUCGCAUCAAGCUGAGCCGGGAGCAUUUAGUUUGCAAAGUCACGCUCUCCUCUGAGGAGGGCGAGCCAAUCGCGGUUCCUCGCUCCAUCCGCAGCCCCAUCCACCCCCAGUAAGUGGCCCCAAUUUCAGUGGAAAGUACUGGGGUCCUGAUGCUGGGGAUGCUGGCCUGCUGCAGUACCAAGGCAGAAUUAAAAUUGCUUCUCUUCUGAAGUCUCCUUACGAACUCUGGGAUAACCCCUUCCUGGCUGGGACGGUCAAGCAGGAUGUAUAAGAUGCAAAGGGGCAACACCCUACCCCUGCCAUCAGUUUGGUGGCAGAAUCCCAGGACAGCGUUCUCCAGGGCCUCUUCCGUAGCAUGGACCGCUGGUUUCCAUGGAGAUCCAACCACUUACGCCAGGCAUGACUGUGGCCUACCAGCAGCAGCUAUGGGCCCGGUGGGCCAAAGGCAGAUGUGCAUUGCCAGGAUUUCAGUGGUUCUGCGUGUGUGUGUGUGGUGUGUGUGUGUGCGCACGCGCACGUAAAUGCUUUUCCUUUCAUGUUUUUCCUCCGGUGAUUGCCAAGCACUAAAUAAACACCGUUCAACCUUCCCCACCCUCUGGACUGGUCAGUAAGGAUCAUUAACUCCCUUUUAUGGAUGGGGAAAACAGACCCUCCAAUGCUAUAGAUUUUCCCAUUGAUCGCUGCUAAGUGUCUAUGGAGCAAACCCUCUAAUCUGAUAGGGUCUCCUUUCCCAUGUACCCACCUCCUGGGGAGGCAGAGCCAAUCAGAGCUGCCACACAGGCUGAUAGGCACUACAGUCCAUCACCUAAACAUAGCAGGUGGAGUACCGACCCCUGCCUCCCAACUAUACAAGCAAACGGCUGAGCUCGUGAUGCAGUGAGCCCCUUGAUUGCGGGACCAGCUGGGCACAUGGGGCAUCAGUACACAGGGGCAUGGAGGGUUAGGUCAUGGGCACAUGGAGGCACUGUGGGGCAGAGGCCCCUGGGUGGAAUUUGGGGGUUCAAGACCCAGGAAGGGUG